AGCGAACGCUGGCGGCAUGCCUAACACAUGCAAGUCUGACGGGCGGGGGGUUUCGGCUCUCUGUCAGUGGCGGACGGGUGAGGAGCGCGUAGGAACGUAUCCAAGGGUGGGGGACAACCGCGGGAAACUGCGGCUAAGACCGCAUGGGGCCUGAGGGCCAAAGCUUGCGAGAGCGAGCGCCUAUGGAGCGGCCUGCGUCCGAUUAGCUUGUUGGUGGGGUAACGGCCUACCAAGGCGGUGAUCGGUAGCUGGUCUGAGAGGAUGAUCAGCCACACUG
rnacentral:rRNA from 1 species